GUAGCGUGGCCUAGCGGUCUAAGGCGCUGGUUUAAGGCACCAUUUCUUCGGAGGCGUGGGUUGAAUCCCACCGCUCA